rnacentral:hammerhead_ribozyme from 1 species
GCACUGCUGAAGAGUCCUGCAACAGGACGAAACGGCCUUUCAGUGC